CCAGACUCCUACGGGAGGCAGCAGUGGGGGAUAUUGCACAAUGGGGGGAACCCUGAUGCAGCGACGCCGCGUGGGUGAAGAAGUAUUUCGGUAUGUAAAGCCCUAUCGGCAGGGAAGAAAUUGGACGGUACCUGACUAAGAAGCCCCGGCUAACUACGUGCCAGCAGCCGCGGUAAUACGUAGGGGGCAAGCGUUAUCCGGAUUCACUGGGUGUAAAGGGAGCGUAGACGGCCAUGCAAGCCUGGAGUGAAAGCCCGGGGCCCAACCCCGGGACUGCUCUGGGAACUGUGCGGCUGGAGUGCGGGAGGGGCAGGCGGAAUUCCUGGUGUAGCGGUGAAAUGCGUAGAUAUCAGGAGGAACACCGGCGGCGAAGGCGGCCUGCUGGACCGCGACUGACGUUGAGGCUCGAAAGCGUGGGGAGCAAACAGGAUUAGAUACCCGCGUA
rnacentral:rRNA from 1 species